UCUGACCAUCAUGCCGAACGCCUCUCAAAAUGCUGGCUGAACUGAGGAUUUACAAAAUUAACCAAUGGCUAUGGAACACUCCAAAACAAAAGCCAAAGGCUAAAUGAAAGCAGAAAUCCCAGUGGGGGUAGGGCGGGUACCCACUGUCUAGGUCCAAAAGAAACUCGGGACAAAUGGCUAUCUAUGGUGUCUUUUAGACUACCAAAGUGCAUGCUGCCCUCCAGCCUCCAGUAUCACGGCUCCCAGCCGUUCUCCUCAGCAAUUCUCACCCGCCCCUACCCUAAACUUCUCUAAUCCAUGAGCUUUCCUUCCCCCAUCUUCUCAUUUUCUUAUAACCCCGACAUUUCAGCUAUGUGCUCUCUUGAUCCCCUCUCUUGUUUUUGGCUUCCUCUCUUGGCUCACAGACUCUGUCUUUAUUCCUUGCCCUCCCCUCUUCCUCUCCUCCCAUGGCCCAUCCAGUCUGUUGGUCAUCUUAGUGUACCACUUUCCCUCUCUGCUCUGGACUCCUCCACAUACCUCUGGCUGUAUUCCCCUUCUUAUCUAUGAUUAAAAACCUUCCCCCGACCAUACCUUGGAGCUGUCACGCUCCAGCUUUAUCCAUCUGGUUCCCAAACACUUACCUCUCGGAGGACAUCUGCUACAUAAUAUAAACCUUAGCUUUGAUUCUCAUGGACUGACUGAGAUGGGGUCACUGCAGCCACCAGCCAGAGCCCUUGGGCACUAACAGAAGUCCCCAGGCCUUAUAAAAAGCUAGGUCUCUAGGGAUCUCUACAGACAGCCCAGCGAUGAACUAAGAGGCGACUCCUGUGCACUCUACAUAGAGAUCUCAAUACAGAACUGAGGGCAAAGCCAUUCCCAAAGAAUUCCUAACCCUGAAGGCUCUCAGUGAGUCUGAAGUCUCCGUUCACAUUCCUUGGUUAAAUGGAAACAUCCUAAGCUGAAGUCUUAGGUUUAAACAGCCCUCCAGAGGUUUUGGUAAAAAUGCGGAAGCAGCUAGAAGCUAAUUCCUUCCUCAUUUCCUGGAAGAGCAAAAUGCACAAAAGUAAACAGAACAACAAACUCAAGUUCCAUCCUGUAAGCCCAAGACUCAAGCACGGAAAGACUGGAGCAAAUGAGAGCUCACCGGAAAGACAUGAUGAUGAAAUUAUUAUGCACACAGGUAAUUAUUUGGGGCAGAGAAUGAAGGGCAGAGAUUAUAGCAAGCUAGCCCAGGAGCGGACAAUUAAAACAAAAACAAACAGAUAAAAACCCACCAGCGAACAGGCCUAUGGCUGGGCAGUUACUCACCAGCAGCUCUGGCUCCCGCAUUCCUGGCAUUUUGAUUUCUAUAGUUCCAGGGGCUGGGGGUGGGGUCCCAUGCACUGUAGGUGGUUUAUCAAUAUGGAAGUAUGAAGUACAUCUCCAUGGGCUACUUGAUGGGCAUUUGGAGUCACCUAGGAGACACACCUCUGAAAGUGUCUACUGGGGCGUUUGCAGAGAUGAAGACCCACCCUGAAUGUGGGUGGCACAUUCUCAAGGGGCAAUAAGAAGGGGCAAAGAAGAAAGUGAGCCCAUCCCUGCUUCCUGACAGCAGGUGACGUGUGACCGACCCUCUGUCUGUCUCCAACUCCCACCGCCAAGCCAUCUCCACAAUGAUGGACUAGACACCCUCAAACCAGGAGCCCAAACAAGCCCUCCCUUCCUCGAACUGCCUUUUGUUGAGAGUUUUGUUACAACGGCAAGAAAAGUAACUGAUAUGGUUGUGUUCCUCCCACUAGAGACCAGCAGUGUGAGCCCUACCCCAAACUGUAGCAAACAAGAAGUGACUAGACAUUGCUACAAAUCUUUGGGGACAAAGUUUCCCAAGGUCGGUGUUCCCUGCUGUAACAGUAAUCCAGGCGCUACAGACCUGUGAGCACCAGAGGGGGAUGGAGGAAACUCACUUUGGAAGGUAAGGUGAGACUCAAGGACACAGAAAAAAGAAGCACAAAAGCCCUCAGCAACAGAUCCCACAACACAUAGGCUGCUCUUGCAGAGGACCCAGGUUCACUUUCCAGCACCCACAUGGGGGCUCACAGCCAUCUGUAACUCUAGUGCCAGGGGACCCAGCUCCCUCUUCUGGCCUUCAUGAGUAUUGCACACACCUGAUAUAUCUUAAAGAGCUUCCUUCAACCAGAGCUGUGAACACACAACUCACAGGCAUGUACAUUUCUAAAGUGAAUUAGCAUAGACUAAAGACAACCGCACUAAAGCAAAUGGGUGGGAAGGGCCAAUGAGCCUACCAGAUGGAAAACACCAGAAAAGAAACUGUUGUCAUGGAUUAGAUGAACAUUCCAAGCAACUGGUGAUCGGUGGGAAAACAAACAAACAAACAAAAAACAGUGUGAAAAAGCUUCCAUGAGGGAGAGCCACAAAGCAGAAAUAGAAGCACAGUUAAGGAAAGCAAGACAAAGCAGGGUGGGGGGCAGAGACAAGGGUCUGUGGGGAGAGAUGUGAGGACAGAUAAAAGAAAGGCAGCUACAGGGCGGGGCACAGUUGGAAGCGCUUAGCCACAGCAGAGCAAUGGUAACAGGCAAGGGAUCGGGAAGGGCAUCCAAUGGGCAGAGUGAAGACAAUGGCUGUCUUUAAUUCCAGUGGAAAUUACAGAUACAGGGAAAAAGGAACAAAAGGGAGCCAACAUACACAUAAUUAGAAUUCCUAAAGAAUAAAAGCCAAACAGUGAAACAUAAUAUUUAAAAUAGAAUGCAGGGAGAGGCUCUUGAAACCAAAGAUAUAAAUCUACCUGAAAGGCAUGCUGUGUGCCAGGGACCAUGACCUAGAGCAGCCAACUCCAAGACUUCUAAUAAAAUUAACAGACUUAAAGGGGAAACAAAAAAAUUCCUUUGACCAGCCAAGCCCACUCCACUCCCCCCCCCCAAAAAAAUUACUCAUAAAAGGGAUAAAAUCAGGCUGUCUGCACAGCAGCCAGAGCUGGACAUCGGCUCGACACUCUCGGGGUAUUUAACUGUUGUAUGUCUUCUUCGGAUGGUGACUGAAUCCUAUGCUAUUUUUUCCUUUAAAUAUUAAAGAAUGUAAAAGUGUGUAUGGGUAUUGUGCCUGUGUGUCUAUGCACCAGGAGUGUACAGUACCCAUGGAGGCCGGAAGAGGGAGUUGGUUGCCCUGGGACUAGAGUUACGGGCGGUUGACCCUGUCUGUGGGUGCUGGGAGUUGAGCAUCUCUCUGGCACCCUUUGUCCACUUUUACUAGAAGCACCUUUGCUGUAAAGUUGUAAAUAUUUCCUAAAUAUUAUAGAUACAAUACCUUUUUGGAUAUAUGACUUAGAAAUUUACCAUCUCAAUCUUAUAAAGUGUGUAUUCAUCUUCCUUUUAAGGUGCUUUUUACAUUUUUAUUUAGUUAGUUUGUGUGUGUGUGUGUGUGUGUGUGUGUGUGUGUGUGUUUAUGUAGGUAGGUAGGUCAGAGGAUGACAGCCUGUGCAAAUCAAGUCUGUCUACUUGUGGGUCCCAGAGAUGGGACUCAGGUCCUCAGGUUUAGAGGACCUUUGCACACACUUGCCAUUUUGCUGAUGCCUAUUCAUUUACUUAAUGGAAUUCUUUGAUGUAUGAAAGCUUUUCAUGUGUAAGCCCUGGGCCUCCCAUGCAACCUAGGCUGUCCUGAACUCUUGAUGCUCCUGCCUCAGUCUCCAGGAUGCUGCAAUUGUCAAUACAUGUCACGAAGCCCAGCGGAAAGGUUUGAAUUUUGAUUAAGUACGACUUUUAUAUUGUUUUCUUUAACCGUUUGUGCCUUUGGCAUUGUACCUGAGAUACCACGGGGGCAGAAGACUUGCUCCUAUGUUUUCUUCUAAGAGUUUUACAGUUUUAGCUCCUGUAUUUUGUCUCUGGGGGUUUGGUUAUUUUGUUAGUUUUUGUUUGUUUUGAUUGCCCAUUUUGAGUUAGUUUCUGUACAUACCGUGGAGCAAGGGCCUGUUGUCUUUAGUCUGUGGGUCUCCAGUUAUUCCAGCAGCAUUUGAUAAACAGAUGCCAUUCACCCUCGCCUUGGUUACUGAUCCUGUUACUGUAACAGAAUAUCUGGCAGAGGCUGCAUGAAGGAGGAAGGAUUUCUUUUAGCUUACUGCUCAUCACAGUUUUACAUCAUCAUUACAUCAUCAUAGCAGGAAAGUCCUGUGCUCGGGAGCUUUGAGGCAGUUUGUCAAACUUCACCUGUAAUCAAGACACAGAGAGCCAUGAAUACACAGCUCACUCUCUACUUCUUAUCCAGUCCAGUACUCCAGACCACAGAGCAGAGCUGGCCACACUUAGGAUGAGUCUGCCCACUUCAGUUAACCGAGUCUAGAAAAUCCCUCACACACAUGCCUAGAAACUGUUUGCAUGGUGAUUCUCAAACCUGUCACAUUGACAAGUCAAAAUGAACCUUCACAGCCACCCAGGGACCUUGGCACUUUGGUGCAAGAUCUCAGUUACCGCUGCAGUGCCAUGCCUGCUUGCCUGUGCCAUGCUUCUCACAAUGAUGGUUCCAGACGCUAGCCUCUGCAGCCAGGAGCUCCCAGUUUAAAUGCUUUGUUUUAUAAGUUGCCUUGGACAUGCAGUCUUUUCACUGGAAUAGGACAGUAACUAAGACAAGAAGGAAAAGGAGGAGGAAAAGAAGCAGGGCGGAGAAAGGAGGAAGAGAAGGAGCAGCCACUGAGUUAUCAAUACAUACCGCUGCACCUGACAAGGUGGGGGACCAUGAGCCUGCAUAUCUGUGUUCAUGAGUCUGGAUCCAGCAUGGCAAGUAUUAUUUGCACAUAUGUUCUAUUGCAGAAACUUUAUGGUGGGCCAGGGUGGGCUGGGUGUGGUUUAACUUCAUGGCUCAGAAAAAGAAUGGGACAGAUUUUAGGAGCUUACUACCAGGGUCUGUCACAGUCCAUACCUUGGCCAUUGCUUAUCUGGGCAUGCUUAUUCCCACAGAUAGGGCACACACAACCCCUCCAUAUGGGGGACAUACAGCCCUUCCCUAUGGGAGACAAACCAGUGCUCACUCAAUGAAUUACGUGCAGAGCUCUCCAUAGGGUCAGCUGUGUUUCUGUGUAAGAAUGAUAACUUACUUCUUGGCUUUAUUCUGGUUUGUUUGUUUUUAUUGGCCUGUUUUCUAAACAGAAAUAGAAUGGAGACAUGGAGCUGGGUGGGUGAGAAGGGGUGGGGUCUGGGAGGAGACUCAGGAGGGGAAAGCAUGAUCAGGCUCUACUGUAUGAAAAAAUAACUUUUUUUUUCAAUUCUUAAAAGAAAAAGAACGGCAACCUAGGAUCUAAAGGCUAUUGGUGUGCCCCAUGCACCGGCCGAGAAGACAAUCGUAGGCAGGGAAAGGCAAAUCAUGAUAAAUACUUCCAUUCUGAAGAGGAGGCACGGAUAUCACACAGGAUAGGUGGGAAUAGUGGGGGACCCUGGUGCCCCAGAUUUGCCUUCUGGAAGUUUCAGCCUUGUCUGUACUGCUCAUCUGAAGUAGUGUCUAGUAAGUAUGUUUCCCUUAAAAGCUGUUUGGGAACCUCAGCAGUUAAGAGAUUUUUGGCAGUAUAUUUGGAAAAGAAACAAUUACUUGCCUGGACACUGUGUUAGGAUUCCUGUGUAUGUUCCUCUGAUCAUUACUGUGAGCCAGUAGUCACAUGUAAGCCUCUUUCUCACAUAACGUUUAUGCUGACUUUAUUUCUGGUCAUCCUUGCUUAGUCACACCCCUUCCCCUCUCCUGACUGCUAUUUUGAGACAGCUGGAAUAAUAGACUCACAUGUGAAUGAACAUCCCUAACCCAACCUUUGCUUUGAGACUACAUCUCUCACAUGGAAAGAUGGUGGCAAAUAUAUUUGUUUAUCAUAGAUAAAGAAGAUAUUUAAUAAUGUCAUUUAUUAGACAGGUUUAAUGUACAAAAUUAAUAAAUGUGCCACAUUUCUUGUGAUCAUAGGACCCUCAUCAGGUCACAGAGAAUAAUCUCAACAGCUUUCUAAGAAGAUAGUUGUUAUAGAAAACAUUAUCUGGUCCCAAUGAUAUUUAAGAAAAAAAAAUAGUAACUGUCCUGUUCUGUUCAGAUUUUUUUUCCCAAUUUGACACAAUCCAGAUUCAUCAAGAAAGAACUUCAAUUGAGAAAUGUUUCCAUCAGAUUAUUGGUUGGCAAGUCUGUGAGACUUUCUGUUGAUAAAUAAUUGGUGUGGGAGAGCCCAGUCCACUGUGGGCAGUGUCACUCCUAGGCUGGUUGUCCAGGGUUGUGUAAGAAAUCAAGCUGAGCCAGCCAUGAGGAGCAAGCCAGCAGACAGAGUUCCUCCACGGCUUCUGCUUCAGUGCCGAUCAUGGUGCUACACGGGGAGGAGGAGAUGCUCAAGUGGCAGAGGCUGGAAGAUCUCAAGAAUGAGGCAAAUCUGGAAGCAGGAACAGAGGAGUCACAAGCAAUUGUCCAUAGUCGUUACAGAUCAACUGCAAGAGAAGCCACAAGCCACCCCCACCCCCAGUUACAGUGACGAACUGGGUUAAGAAACCCAUGGCAAUAUUCCUACUUGAUGAGUCCAAUGCCUAGAAUUCAUAUUUGAGGGUGGGGGCGCAGUAGCAAACAUCUGGAAUCCUAAGGGAAAGAUGGAGGUUCAGGGUGGAGGCAGGAUAGAGGUAUUGUCCCAAAGAGUGUGGGUCAGCUAGUCGAGAACAUGCAGCAUGGUACAAAUAGGAGCAUGGCUGUCUCAACAUGGUGGAAGGAAAUACCUGACUCCUGAAAGUUAUCCUCUGAUCUCCUGGCAUGUAGUUGCAUGUGCAUCAAUGCCCCCUGUGUGUAUAUGUUCAUGUGAACAAGUAUGGACACAAAUUUUUCAAGUUUUAAAUCUUUUUUUUUUCAGAUUUAUUUAUUUGAUGUAUGUGAGUACCCUGUAGCUGUCUUCAGACACACCAGAAGAGGGCAUCGGAUCUCAUUACAGAUGGUUGUGAGACACCAUGUGGUUGCUGGGAAUUGAACGGAGGACCCCUGGAAGAGCAGCCAGUGUUUUUAACUUUUCCAGCUCCAAAGUUUCAAAUCUUACAGGAUCAUACCUUGGAUGUUUUCAAGGUUUUUGAAGUAACCACACCCAGUGAUGCAUUCUGGUAGAGUUCUGAAGUCUGCUAUCUUACUUGGCUUCCUGCCCUCACCCAAGGAGCUUGUAAUUUUAGCUACCUUGGUUGUGCCAAAUCAGCAUAUUUGACAGUAACAGCCUUAAUAUAAACCUUGUCUGAGGUCUGGGCCUUUGUUGGGCAUCUUGGGUGGCUCUAAGCAACUGAGUCUCAAUUCUUAAUGUGUGGGCUAAAUAAAAUGCACCUAUGUUUCUA